rnacentral:rRNA from 1 species
GACGAACGCUGGCGGCGUGCUUAACACAUGCAAGUCGAACGAUGAAGCUAGAGCUUGCUCUGGUGAAUUAGUGGCGAACGGGUGAGUAACACGUGAGUAACCUGCCCCGAACUCUGGGAUAACUGCUGGAAACGGUAGCUAAUACUGGAUACGACCUACGAAGGCAUCUUCUGUAGGUGGAAAGAAUUUCGGUUCGGGAUGGACUCGCGGCCUAUCAGCUUGUUGGUGAGGUACUGGCUCACCAAGGCGACGACGGGCAGCCGGCCUGAGAGGGUGACCGGCCACACUGGGACUGGGACACGGCCCAGACUCCUACGGGAGGCAGCAGUGGGGAAUAUUGCACAAUGGGCGCAAGCCUGAUGCAGCAACGCCGCGUGAGGGAUGACGGCCUUCGGGUUGUAAACCUCUUUUAGUAGGGAAGAAGCGAAAGUGACGGUACCUGCAGAAAAAGCACCGGCUAGCUACGUGCCAGCAGCCGCAGUAA